CGAAAGAUAAAACUGUAAUGUACAAUAACUUGCAAUGACCGGUCCCUUCGGGCGGUAUGUCGUCAUCAGUGAAGGAUAUCACAUUGUUGUUGAAAAUGUGAUCAACUAGAUGUUGAAAUUUUUCCACGUCCACUGAUUUUGGCAAAUAGGCUUCUUCCAAAACCUUUAAUAAGAUCUUCCAAUGAUCAUCGGAAGAUAAAACCAAGUCCAGUAUUGAUAUCUGG
rnacentral:lncRNA from 1 species